AAACUUAAUAGGCAAAAUUAGGGAAAUCUAAUGACGCAAAGCUAUAGGGGCUAAGGUAUGUUUAUACAUAUUAUGCCAGCCAGUUGCCAAA
rfam:Clostridium sp. JC272 contig51, whole genome shotgun sequence.